rnacentral:rRNA from 1 species
UAGGGAAUCUUCCACAAUGGACGAAAGUCUGAUGGAGCAACGCCGCGUGAGUGGAGAAGGUCUUCGGAUCGUAAAGCUCUGUUGUUGGUGAAGAAGGAUAGAGGCAGUAACUGGUCUUUAUUUGACGGUAAUCAACCAGAAAGUCACGGCUAACUACGUGCCAG